rnacentral:rRNA from 1 species
UGAAUACGAGAUGCUACGGCGUCGAAGCAGUCUAUGUCAUACUUCCAAGAAAAGCUUGCACUGUCAUAAACAAAUAAUGCCUGUACCAUAACCGACACAGGUGGGUAGGUAGAGUAUACUAAGGGGCGCGAGAUAACUCUCUCUAAGGAACUCGGCAAAAUGACUCCGUAACUUCGGGAGAAGGAGUGCCUUAUUUUAUAAGGUUGCAAUAACAAGAUCCAAGCAACUGUUUACCAAAAACACAGGUCUCCGCUAAGUCGUAAGACGAUGUAUGGGGGCUGACGCCUGCCCAGUGCCAGAAGGUUAAAGAAGCUGGUUAGCAUCCGCGAAGCUGAUAACUGAAGCCCUGGUGAACGGCGGCCGUAACAAUAACGGUCCUAAGGUAGCGAAAUUCCUUGUCGGGUAAGUUCCGACCCGCACGAAAGGCGUAAUGAUUUGGAUACUGUCUCAGAGAGGGGCUCGGUGAAAUAGACUUGUCUGUGAAGAUGCGGACUACCUGCACCAGGACAGAAAGACCCUAUGAAGCUUUACUGUAACUUGAAAUUGAAAUUGGACUUUACUUGCGCAGUAUAGGUGGGAGGCGUUGAGAAUAUUCUUGCGGGAAUGUUGGAGCCAUCAGUGAGAUACCACUCUUGUAAUGUUAGAUUUCUAACUUUGUAUCAUUAUCUGGUCAAAGGACAGUUUCAGGCGGGCAGUUUGACUGGGGCGGUCGCCUCCCAAACGGUAACGGAGGCGCACAAAGGUUUCCUCUGAACGGGUAGAAAUCGUAUCUAGAGUGUAAAGGCAUAAGGAAGCUUGACUGUGAGACCUACAAGUCGAGCAGGGACGAAAGUCGGUCUUAGUGAUCUGACGGUGCUGAGUGGAAAGGCCGUCACUCAACGGAUAAAAGUUACUCUAGGAUAACAGGCUGAUCUCCCCCAAGAGUUCACAUCGACGGGGAGGUUUGGCACCUCGAUGUCGGCUCAUCGCAUCCUGGGGCGGUAGUACGUCCCAAGGGUUGGGCUGUUCGCCCAUGAAAGCGGUACGCGAGCUGGGUUCAGAACGUCGUGAGACAGUUCGGUCCAUAUCCGGUGUAGGCGUUAGAAUAUUGAGAGGAGCCUUCUUUAGUACGAGAGGACCGAGAAGGACAUACCUCUGGUGUACCAGUUAUCGUGCCAACGGUAAACGCUGGGUAGCUAUGUAUGGAGUGGAUAACCGCUGAAAGCAUCUAAGUGGGAAGCCCACCUCAAGAUAAG